UUAGCAGGAGGCGGCGUGGAAGUGUCAAAAAUACGCCGUUUUGUCCAUUCUCUUGCUGCGUUUUAGUUCUGUGACGUAAACUGACCGCCUACACACGUGCAUUACUUCGCAUUAUUUGUACACGAGAACGUAGAGCUGUGUUUGUGUCGAAGAUCAAGAGAACUGUCAAAAACAGCGGAUAAUGAUGCAGAAAAUUCAGUUUGACGAAGUAUAUAUCGAAGUAUACUACAGCGAGGCAUUGAGACAUCUGUAAAACUUGUAGACCUGAUGAUCAUGCGAAGGAUGCCUUCUGAAAUUUUUCUGGGAAAUGGUGGAACUCUACAUCGUUCCUUGAUGUUUAUACUGAAACUUGGUUGGCAAUCAAGAUUUCGUUUGCCAGUGCUUCUGGUCAUUGUCUUUGUCGCCAUGGACUACAGAUUACAAUUAGAAAUUGAAUUUGGUGACAAUGCGGACCAACAUAAUCAUUUAUAAUUUUAACAGAGAACAGAUAAAUGCAUAAGACUGUUACUUUAUAUAUAUUUAACACAUGCGCAUAAUAUAUACAAAAGAUUUAGAAAGUAUAAACAUGAACUAUGUAUUUAUUUAAACAACAUCCAAUGUAAGACAUUAUGAACUGUUGACAAAUGUUAGUAGACUACAUAUUUUAUAAGCGCAUCUAUUCACACAUGGAACAUUUUGCUCAGUACUUGUCGAUUUUUAA